CAUAUGAUGUAUCCUUUGAGCUAAGCCAGUUUGAUAGGUUGAAACUCAAGUGGUAUGUGGUCUCAGUAACUUCAACUCCUGGCAAGGUCUAUAAAGUUGUUGUGUUGAUGCAUGUAAGAAUGUUCUGAGAGGUUUACAUGACAGCAAGAUUGCCCAAAGGGAGCUGGAUAGGGUUAGUAUUUUCCCUUUGCUCACCUCACCUUAUCCCAAUUUUCUUGCAAUACUACCACAAUCUUUUAUUUAAGGGGCCAAUUGGAGCCUUUUAAAAUCAACUAGAUUCCUUUUGAAGCAUAGGUUUCCUCUAAGCAUGCAUCGGGUUACUAUACACAGAUCUUAAAAGUGGAAAUGAUUAUAUGCAGGUAGGAGAUUAUUAAAAAAAAAAAUCCUCAUAGGUUAUUAACAUGAUUAAUAGAACUAAGUAGGAUUUUUUUUAAAAUAAAAUCCUCAUAGGUUAUUAACAUGAUUAACAGAACCAAAUAAAUGGGUUCAAAUCAUUUAUACAUGUUAUGAGAUUCAAUAGCAUUCUUGAGUUAUUUAUUAUCACCAUUACGUUAGCUUAACUUGCUUGCUUUUUCUACCUCAACGCUCACAACGGCCAUCACAGUUGCAGAGAUUUUGAAGAAAAAAGGGCUGGCUAUUGAGAAGAGGAUUUUGAUGUCUACAGUUGACAUGAAGGAUGAAUCUAAGGGCCGUCUCAUUCUAAAAGCGAAGGUUGGCACUAUUAAUGUUAGUUUUUAAUAUUUGUCAUGUCAAAUUAAUUAUCCUUACUACCUUCUUCUUCUUCUUCUUCUUCUUUUCUUAUUUGAAGUGAUCAAAUUCAAAUAGCCAUGCUUUUUUAACCAGCAUGGUUGAUUAUUUCUGCGGUUUUAUCAAACCACCCCCCUUCGUUUCUUUCAAAAAGACAAGAAUAUAUAAUUCUUCUCUUUGGCUACACUAGUUACUUGAUCUCAACAACCAGACUCCUGUUUACUUUUUAUUUUUGGGAGGUAGUUGUUUGCAUACAAUGAUGUUUGCAGUUGUAAUGUUUUUGUUCUUACUUGUUAUAGAUUGAGGUUUACUGGGGAAGACUGAGAAAUUCGAUGAUCUGAUUGUUGUCGUUACUACCAAAGGGAUGUAGUUGGAGACAAUAAAGCAUGAUGGCAAACCAUAGCUCUAGAGUUCCAUCAUAUUCUGAUUUUCAUUUCUUUUUUCCUCCUGGUGUCCUGUUUAAGUGAUAGAGGUUAUGAAAUUUUUAAGUAGAGCUGCUGCUGUCAUUAACUGAAAAGAGCAGAGUUGAGAGAGGCCUUUUUCUUUUCUCCUUUUAUGGGAGUUGUUGAUGAUACAAACAAUCUGCUGUUUGGUGGUCA